rnacentral:rRNA from 1 species
AUUGAACGCUGGCGGCAUGCCUAACACAUGCAAGUCGAACGGCAGCACAGUAAAGAUUUCGGUCUUUAUGGGUGGCGAGUGACGGACGGGUGAGUAAUGCGUAGGAAUCUGUCCUGGAGAGUAGGAUAACCCGAGGAAACUCGGGCUAAUACUGCAUGAUAUCGAGAGAUCAAAGGCAGGGGACCCUUCGGGGCCUUGCGCUCUAGGAUGAGCCUACGUCGGAUUAGCUAGUUGGUGGGGUAAAGGCCUACCAAGGCGACGAUCCGUAGCUGGUCUGAGAGGAUGACCAGCCAAACUGGGACUGAGACACGGCCCAGACUCCUACGGGAGGCAGCAGUGGGGAAUCUUGGACAAUGGGGGAAACCCUGAUCCAGCGAUGCCGCGUGUGUGAAGAAGGCCUUCGGGUUGUAAAGCACUUUAGUUGGGGAAGAAAAGUAAUGAGUGAAUAACUGAUUGCUCUGACGGUACCCAAAGAAUAAGCACCGGCUAACUCUGUGCCAGCCGCCGCCGUAA